GCCGUCAUUGAGCUUUGUCUCUCGACGUACUUUUUCAGAAAUAUCAUUUGCACAUAUUCAGAAAUGUUCUACAAGGACAUUAUUGAGCGCAUUCGGGUUAUUUGCAUGCAAAGGUGUUUAGGAUUUUGCGUUUAAACUUGUAAAGUGUCGAAUCCACGACUUCAUGAAGUGAAACAUGCAUUCUUUUUAAUGGUGAGUACAAGAAAUCUAAUAUGCCGUUUUUACUAUUGCAGAGAACCCAUAAGUGUCAUUAUUCCAGCAUAUUUUGACUACGUUUGGGACAAUCACUCACUUAAGGGACCCCAACAGUGUGAUUAUUCCAGCAUGUUUUGAUUACGUUUAGGACAAUCACGUAGUUAAGAUAAACGCUGAAUUCAUGCGGAUAACAACAGUGCCACUCCUGACCAAGUUCCUGGGGCAGCUGGAUGGAUACGCGGUAAACCUACAUAUAGGUUUUCAAAAGCAAAGGAGGUGCUGCUGGACAGAAUAUAUCACGCAUAAUGGCAAUUGCUGACAAGCAUGAUGACGUACAUCUCGAACGAGACUGUGUCAUAAAGAGUCUGUGUGUGUAUCUCAAUGAGGACAUCACAACACUUGUGAAAGAAUUCAUGG